rnacentral:rRNA from 1 species
UACGUAGGUGGCAAGCGUUACUCGGAAUCACUAGGCGUAAAGCGCAGGUAGGAGGUUUAGUAAGUCUGUUGUGAAAGCUCCCGGCUUAACUGGGAGAGGUCAACGGAAACUGCUAGGCUAGAGUGUGGUAGAGGAAGAUGGAAUUCCCGGUGUAGCGGUGAAAUGCGUAGAUAUCGGGAGGAAUACCUAUGGCGAAAGCAGUCUUCUGGACCAUCACUGACUCUGAUCUGCGAAAGCUAGGGGAGCAAACAGG